rnacentral:rRNA from 1 species
CCUACGGGAGGCUGCAGUGGGGAAUAUUGGGCACUGGGCGCAAGCCUGACCCAGCAACGCCGCGUGAAGGAAGAAGGCUUUCGGGUUGUAAACUUCUUUUGUCAGGGACGCAGCAAGUGACGGUACCUGACGAAUAAGCCACGGCUAACUACGUGCCAGCAGCCGCGGUAAUACGUAGGUUGCACGCGUUAUCCGGAUUUAUUGGGUGUAAAGGGCGUGUAGGCGGGAAUGCAAGUCAGAUGUGAAAACUAUGGGCUCAACCCAUAGCCUGCAUUUGAAACUGUAUUUCUUGAGUGCUGGAGAGGCAAUCGGAAUUCCGUGGGUAGCGGUGAAAUGCGUAGAUAUACGGAGGAACACCAGUGGCGAAGGCGGAUUGCUGGACAGUAACUGACGCUGAGGCGCGAAAGCGUGGGGAGCAAACAGGAUUAGAUACCCCUGUAGUC